GACGAACGCUGGCGGCGUGCCUAAUACAUGCAAGUAGAACGCUGAAGAGAGGAGCUUGCUCUUCUUGGAUGAGUUGCGAACGGGUGAGUAACGCGUAGGUAACCUGCCUUGUAGCGGGGGAUAACUAUUGGAAACGAUAGCUAAUACCGCAUAACAAUGGAUGACUCAUGUCAUUUAUUUGAAAGGGGCAGAUGCUCCACUACAAGAUGGACCUGCGUUGUAUUAGCUAGUAGGUGAGGUAACGGCUCACCUAGGCGACGAUACAUAGCCGACCUGAGAGGGUGAUCGGCCACACUGGGACUGAGACACGGCCCAGACUCCUACGGGAGGCAGCAGUAGGGAAUCUUCGGCAAUGGGGGCAACCCUGACCGAGCAACGCCGCGUGAGUGAAGAAGGUUUUCGGAUCGUAAAGCUCUGUUGUAAGUCAAGAACGAGUGUGAGAGUGGAAAGUUCACACUGUGACGGUAGCUUACCAGAAAGGGACGGCUAACUACGUGCCAGCAGCCGCGGUAAUACGUAGGUCCCGAGCGUUGUCCGGAUUUAUUGGGCGUAAAGCGAGCGCAGGCGGUUUGAUAAGUCUGAAGUUAAAGGCUGUGGCUCAACCAUAGUUCGCUUUGGAAACUGUCAAACUUGAGUGCAGAAGGGGAGAGUGGAAUUCCAUGUGUAGCGGUGAAAUGCGUAGAUAUAUGGAGGAACACCGGUGGCGAAAGCGGCUCUCUGGUCUGUAACUGACGCUGAGGCUCGAAAGCGUGGGGAGCGAACAGG
rnacentral:rRNA from 1 species